ACACACACACACACACACACACACACACACACACACCGAGGGAAAGAGUCUCAAAAAAACUCCUGUUCUAUUUAUUAUACUACAGCACUGGUGAUAAUGGUGUGUGUGUGUGUGUGUGUGUGUGUGUGUGUGUCCGUACCCAUAUCAUGGAAGGCUUUAAGCGCCUCACUGGUGUCCAGAACUCUCAGGAUGAACCACAGCAGCGGCUCAGAGAGCUGACAAGUGGAGAGAGAACCCUGCAUGACAAACACACACUGUUAAACACACACACAGACCCAGACAGAGACACCCGGCCUAUACAGUGAAUACAGUGAAGUUAUGUGCAGUUCUUUGUCUUUAAUAUUUGUGAGUGAAUGAAGCAGGUGUGAGCAGGUGUAGUGCUUGUCGGAGAGCUCACCUGUCUGCCCAUGUAGCCACAGGCCAUGUAGGUGAGGAUGGGCUGCAGCAUGACCUGCACUGACGUGGCUCUCUUACUCAGCGUGGUGAGGAUGGUGAACAGACCGUCGCCUACAGAUAUGGCGUCCAAACCUCCGUGGAAAUUCUCAUGCUUGGUCAAAUGGAGUCCACUAGCACCUGAAGGUGAGAAAUGUAGGGAAGAGUGUUAACGGCGUAGUUACACAGUGAGGAAAGUAAUGGAUUGGGACACGCACACACUGGACAGGGAGUGUACAGACCGAUUAUCAUGGCCAUGGCGCUGCUGUUGCACUGCCCCAAGGCUGAAAGGAUCUGACUCAUGAUCUGUUGAUUGGCCAGCACCAGGUCUGCCACGCCCAUCGCCGGACCCUGAUUGGGGACGUGUCCCGAGGCGCCGCCCUCUUUGCCGCCGCCUCCACUGCAGACUUUUUCCUCGUCGGAGACGCUGUUGGAGGGCAUGCGCCCGCUGUACUCUCUGUCUCCGGACAGCGGCAGGGUGACGAGAGCGUUGACUAGCUUGAGCAGGUCGAACAUCAGCUGAUCGCGCGUGGUCUCUCCGCACGCCGCCUUGGCGUCUCCUGGGCGGAUGAUAUUAGCGAAAAGGCCUCCGAAACAGGCGCGGGCGCACACGGAGCCAUCCGAGCCGCUCCGGGACACCACCUUCUCCGAGCAGGUGAUGUAGUGAUGGACCAGGAAGGUGAUGGACUCAACCACGGCUGUGAUGGUGGUGACGGACACGACCUCGAAGUUCUGCUCCAGCGUGAACUCCAGGAGCUUCACCUGAGCGUCCAACGGGCCCUGUCCUGAAUGGAACGGACCCCUGUAGAGGAGGGACACGAGGGAGAGUCAAUAAGUAGUUCAGUAACUCAGUAAGAAAGUCAGUAACUGAAGAUAUAAAAUAAGCAGGUUAGAGUCAGUAAUGAAGAAAGUGUCAGUAAGUCCAAAAAGUCAGUAAGCAAGUUAGUCAAUAAAUCUAUUACUAAAACAACAUCACUUAAAUCAAUAAGUCACUAAUUCAGUAGAGCAGCAAUUCAGUAAGAUCACUAAUUCAGUAGAUCACUAAUUCAGUAGAUCACUAAUUCAGUAGAUCACUAAUUCAGUAAGAUCACUAAUUCAGUAGAUCACUAAUUCAGUAGAUCACUAAUUCAGUAGAUCACUAAUUCAGUAAGAUCACUAAUUCAGUAGAUCACUAAUUCAGUAGAUCACUAAUUCAGUAAGUCAGCAGAUCACUAAUUCAGUAGAUCACUAAUUCAGCAGAUCACUAAUUCAGUAGAUCAGCAGGUCAGCAGGUCAGUAGAUCACUAAUUCAGUACAUCAGUAAGUCAGUAGAUCAGUAGGUCAGUAGAUCAGUAGGUCAGUAAGCCAACACACAGAUCACGGAGUUGUUAAGUCAGUAACCAAGUAAAAUAAAGACUGAAUGAACACACUGCAUCAGAGCAAUCAGGAAGAACAAACAGAAGGAGAAGGAGAAGGAGAGGAGUGUGUACCGCUCGGUGGAGAGAAUGUGCACUAGUUUGAGCAGGAACUCGCUGAACAUCUGAGGACAGGUGGAGGACAGGUGGACCUGUAAGCGGGUCAGGAACUCCUGCAUGGCCUGCGUUGCAGUCGGACCCACCUGCGCAGAGAAAGCCAGGGGUUUACACACUGUAAUUACAGGUUUAGUGUGUCAGAGUGUGUGUGUGUGUGUGUGUGUGUGUGUGUGUGUACCUGUACAUGGUGGAUCUGCAGCAUGGAGAAGAGUUUAUUAAAGCAAGCACUGAGCAUUGGGAUGGAGGAGGGCUGCACCAUUACGCUGCCACCAGGGGGGGAGCCGUGCAGCCCCCGCAGGAGGGAGUCGUCUGUCCCGUUAGUGGCCUGGGAAGCU
ensembl:lncRNA